CACCCUGUAGACCCGAGUUUGAGUGCCUAGCGUACGUUCCACCGUACGGACUCCCAAGCUCGUGUCUUCAAGGCAUCA
rnacentral:pre_miRNA from 1 species